GCACUGCUGACGGGUCCCAAACAGGACGAAACAGGCAUCCAGUGC
rnacentral:hammerhead_ribozyme from 1 species